rnacentral:rRNA from 1 species
UCAGGAACGAACGCUGGCGGCGCGUUUAAGCAUGCAAGUCGAGCGGCAAGGGCCUUCGGGCCCCUAGAGCGGCGGACGGGUGAGUAACACGUGGACAAUCCUGCCCCCCGGCCCGGGAUAGCCCAGGGAAACCUGGAUUAAUACCGGAUGAGACGGGACCCGCGAUGGCGGGACCCGGAAAGGCGCUGCGGCGCCGCCGGGGGAUGAGUCUGCGUCCCAUUAGCUAGACGGCGGGGUAACGGCCCACCGUGGCGACGAUGGGUAGCCGGCCUGAGAGGGUGGACGGCCACAUUGGAACUGAGACACGGUCCAGACUCCUACGGGAGGCAGCAGCUAAGAAUCUUCCGCAAUGGGCGAAAGCCUGACGGAGCGACGCCCGCGUGAACGAAGAAGGCCGUGAGGUUGUAAAGUUCUUUUCGGGAGGGGGAACAACCGUGGCAGGGAAUGGCCGCGGGAUGACGUGAAUCCCGGAAUAAGCCCCGGCUAACUACGUGCCAGCCGCAGC